UGCCACUCUUUCCCUUCAGACACCCUCUCUUCUGUAGUAAUCACCGAAGGCAGGAAGGAAACGAAGAGGAUUUGGUUGGGCAACUACUGGAGUCCGGGCGCGACAGUCUCGCUGGAGUGAUGCAUACAGAGAGAGAGAUGGGAGAGAUAGAAAAGCCAAUAUUCAGAGACACAAGGAGUUAUUUCUGUGAGUACUGCGGCAUUUGCAGGUCCAAGAAGUCCCUCAUCAGCUCUUACAUCCUCAUCCAUCACAAGGAAGAGAUGGAGGAGAAAGGUGUUGAUGAAGAAGAGAAAAUGGAGGGGACAAAAUCCAAUACUUGCACAGAAUGUGGUGCCACUUUCAAGAAACCGGCUUAUUUGAAGCAACAUAUGCAGAGUCAUUCCCUCUUACCCAUUUUCGAAAUCAAACAAAAAACCACCAAUUCUUCCUAUAAUCGGUCAUCAUGAUUUCAGCCCAACAAAACCUAUACCCAUUCAGCUUACCUCAAAUGUCAGAUUAGGGUAGUAUUCGGCCAUCCAAAUUCCAUCAAAAUAGUAAAGAAAUCAAAAAAUUAGAACCAAACCCAUAAUCCCCAAUGAAAGACAAAAUGUAACCAAAAAUUCUUACCCAUUUUCGAAAUCAAACAAAAAACCACCAAUUCUUACUAUAAUCGGUCAUCAUGAUUUCAGCCCAACAAAACAAGAGAAAAACCAGAUAAUAAGAGAGAAAAAUUACCGGAUGUGGCGUUCGGCCGGAUUUUCGAGCUGGUGACUUGCCGUUUUUGGUUGGUGGGUGUCGCCGGUCGUUGUGGCGGGUAGAGAUCGGCCGGAUUUCGAGUGGUGACGUGACCAGUUUUGGAUGAGGGGAGGGAUGAUAGCACUCCACGUAGGACUCAUCGUGCACGUCAGCCUAACCCACAUUAUCUGGCCGUGGAGAUGGUUAAGGAGAAGCAACGUGAAGAUCGUGGGCAGAAGGUUAUGCAAUAGUGGAAUUAUAGUUGUUAUCAAGUGCAUGGGUAGUAGGUUACAUAGGAAGUGGAGUUGCAGUUGUUAUCUUUAGUUAUUUUCAUGUUGUUUGUAGUCCCACGUUACUAGACGUGGAUAGUUAUCUUGUGUGGGUGGGUUUCCUUGUAUUUACGUGGGUAGUUAUCUUUUCUUAAGCUUAGUAUAAGUCAGGUGAUUAAGGAGAGGAGGGUAUCUAUUUUGUAAUCAGACAUUUGUCUUUGUGGUUUGUCUCCAACCCUUAAUUGGAGUUCACUAUCUAUCAUAUAUCUACCUAUUUCUGUUCAA